rnacentral:sRNA from 1 species
ACAUGGCAUUUUUCAUAUCAGACCCUUUAUCGGCCCUAAGGUCAUGAUAUCAGCCCAAGAGCAGUCAUGCUCGAGGGCCGAUAAAGGGUCUGAUAUGAAAAAUGACAUGUAAUUAUC